UGUAGUUAAGCCAGCAUAGUCUGAGUGAGUGUAGAGAUAAAACCCAUUAUUGGAAAAAAUACAUUCUUACUAUUAAAAGGUCACAAUGUUCCCAGACUCCAGAAAAGGAUGAAAAAAGUACUUGUCUUUCCCCAUGAAAUGCUAUUUGUCCAGCUUUGAUGGCUAUGCUAGGCCAGAGCCCAUUCUUCCAUUAUCUUCUUCUGUCUUCUUUGCUUUAGUCUUUUAUCUUCUCUGCCCUGACCCAGACUCCUAACUUCAGUACUUUGAGGUCCUUGUAAUCUUCAUCAUCGUUUUGACUUCACAUUGGAAGACUGACAACAGUUAUUAUUCUGCUUCAUUUUGGAGGACUUCACCAUUUUGGUUUCAUCUUGGAGCACCGAUAGCAGUUUUCUACUAAGCCCAACUCUGUGCUAUUUCAACUUCAAGGUUCUUUAAGAUAAAACUGGAUGUGCGAGUUCGAAGGUCUACAUUUUGCAAUAGGAGAUAAUGCUGUUUAAAUCAAUUAUGAUAAAGUUCAGGUGGAACAUUAAUGUAAACAAAUCUUCAGUUUGGCAGCCAACAGAAGAUAUGAUUCUUUCAAGACAAAAGGAGAAACCAGCAUCCUUUACACAAUGAAUAUUGACAAAUUUAGUAAGCAACAAGAGGGGCUGGAGGCAACGUUGGAGGAUCUGCAACAUCUGUCGGUGGCAUGCCUCCAAUUCUUCAGUUUUCUCUCAUCAGCUCCAGUCAUCUUGGCCCAUAGAAUCUUUCCAGCUCCAGGAUUAAUCAUGUUCAUGUAUCUGAGUAUAUUCUGACUGUGGGAAAUCAUAAUUAUAUCCAAGAAACUGGCUCGUGACUUUGUAUCUUGUCCAGACCCCAAAUCUAUGUUACCCAAUGUGGAUUUCUGGUUUCCAACAUUGUUCCUUUAUUAUCAUAAACCAAGGAGUGGUAACCAUAAACCAAGAGCCUCCAAUUUUAUUCCUGUAACACUGAAGUUAUUCCUUUCAAGUCUUCCCUAUCAUUUCUCAGAGUGUGUGUUUUCCCUGAUUUUCUUCCUCUUUCUUUUCCCUAGCACAAGCAAAUAAGUAGUUUUCUAUUCUCUAUUGAAAAUAUUGAGUACCUAAAUUAUGACAUACAUUUUAAUAUUCAGUUUUAUAUAGCAUCUAACCAUCACAACUCUACUGUGAUAUAUACAGUUCGUUCUCAUUAAACAGUUGAGAAAUAUCCUCAGUGAAAUGAAGUAAAUAACCCAAGACCAUACUGCUAUAUAAUGUUAGAACCUGGAUAUACAGAUCUCCAAACUUGAAUAUAGAUAGAUCUAUAGAUAUAUUAUAUCCACUAUAUGUGUGUGUAUAUAGGUGUGUGUGUAUAUAUAUAUAAUGUAUGUAUGUAUAACUGAUUCCAAAACUGUGCUUUUGAAAUAUACAGUUAUGAGGCAAUUACCCAAUCUUAUUUUUUGCCCCGAUGUAGACAAAUUGUUUUAAUUUUGAUUGAGCUCUCUAUGCGGCCUACACAUUUCAGGUAGGUAGCCUCCAUAGCUCAUCUAUUCCCUCAGUAACUAUGCUGCCGAAAUCUUGAACUUCCAGACUUCUCCAUCACAACCCAGAGCACACAUACACACACAAAAUGUAAGCUUAGUCUCAGUCUAUGUCCUGUUCAUGGAACGGCCUCUGAGCCAUUGUUGCUACCUAGAGUCUUCUGACAUAUUUGAGUCUUGCACUUUGUCAGCUGGUUGACAUACCACACCUCACUUCCCAUGUCAUUUAACAUGUUCCCUUCCCAGGCAGCAAACUCCUUCUUGCUACUCCUUGCUCCUCUUAUUAUUAAAGAAAUAAACUGAAUUACUUUAUAGGAUUUAUAGUGAAAUAUUUGUAUUUCCUAUAAUGUAAAUAGUGUGUACACUUUUUUUUAAAUGCUGAUAUUGACAAUGAGUUCAAGUAUUAGCCUAAUCUUCUGCAGCAUUUCUCAUAAUAAUUUAGGCAGCCAUUGAUAAUAAUUUUCUGUGUCUGCAAUUUCAUUCGUGGUUGCAAUAUGAUGAUACUACAAUUCUAUUAACCUUUUUUUUUCUAUAU